GCGGGUAUAGUUUAGUGGUAGAACAGCUGGUUGCCAAUCAGCUAGUGGGAGUUCGAUUCUCCCUACCCGCACAA
rnacentral:tRNA from 2 species